AGAGUUUGAUUCUGGCUCAGAACGAACGCUGGCGGCAGGCUUAACACAUGCAAGUCGAACGAUAAGCUACCUUCGGGUAGUGGACAGUGGCAGACGGGUGAGUAACGCGUAGCAAUCUACCUAUCACUACGGAAUAACGUCGAGAAAUUGACGCUAAUACCGUAUACGUCCUCCGGGAGAAAGAUUUAUCGGUGAUAGAUGAGGCUGCGUUAGAUUAGCUAGAUGGUGAGGUAAAAGCUCACCAUGGCGACGAUCUAUAGCGGGUCUGAGAGGAUGAUCCGCCACACUGGGACUGAGACACGGCCCAGACUCCUACGGGAGGCAGCAGUGGGGAAUCUUGGACAAUGGGCGAAAGCCUGAUCCAGCCAUGCCGCGUGAAUGAUGAAGGCCUUAGGGUUGUAAAAUUCUUUCGCUAGGGAAGAUAAUGACGGUACCUAGUAAAGAAGCCCCGGCUAACUCCGUGCCAGCAGCCGCGGUAAUACGGAGGGGGCUAGCGUUGUUCGGAAUUACUGGGCGUAAAGCGUGCGUAGGCGGAUUGAUAAGUUAGAGGUGAAAUCCCAGGGCUCAACCCUGGAACUGCCUUUAAAACUGUCAGUCUAGAAUUCUGGAGAGGUAAGUGGAAUUCCUAGUGUAGAGGUGAAAUUCGUAGAUAUUAGGAGGAACACCAGAGGCGAAGGCGACUUACUGGACAGAUAUUGACGCUGAGGCACGAAAGUGUGGGUAGCAAACAGGAUUAGAUACCCUGGUAGUCCACACCGUAAACGAUGAGAGCUAGUUGUCUGCAUGCAUGCAUGUAGGUGACGCAGCUAACGCAUUAAGCUCUCCGCCUGGGGAGUACGGUCGCAAGAUUAAAACUCAAAGAAAUUGACGGGGGCCCGCACAAGCGGUGGAGCAUGUGGUUUAAUUCGAAGCAACGCGCAGAACCUUACCUACCCUUGACUUCCUCAUCGCGAUUUCCAGAGAUGGAUUUCUUCAGUUAGGCUGGAUGAGUGACAGGUGCUGCAUGGCUGUCGUCAGCUCGUGUCGUGAGAUGUUGGGUUAAGUCCCGCAACGAGCGCAACCCUCGUCCUUAGUUGCCAGCAUUUAGUUGGGCACUCUAGGGAGACUGCCGGUGCUAAGCCGGAGGAAGGUGGGGAUGACGUCAAGUCCUCAUGGCCCUUAUGGGUAGGGCUACACACGUGCUACAAUGGCGCUGACAGAGGGUUAAUCCCUAAAAGGCGUCUCAGUUCGGAUUGUCUUCUGCAACUCGAAGGCAUGAAGUUGGAAUCGCUAGUAAUCGUGGAUCAGCAUGCCACGGUGAAUACGUUCCCGGGCCUUGUACACACCGCCCGUCACACCAUGGGAGUUGGUUCUACCCGAAGGUGGUGCGCUAACCAGUUUACUGGAGGCAGCCAACCACGGUAGGGUCAGCGACUGGGGUGAAGUCGUAACAAGGUAGCCGUAGGGGAACCUGCGGCUG
rnacentral:rRNA from 1 species